UAAAGUAAAUAAGUAAAAGUUCUUAGGCAAUUGAAAUUCCUACUUUUUUUAUAUAUAUUGAAAUAUUGAAGUACCCAAAUUAUUGUUAUUAGUAAAAAAAUAUAGGCAAUGAUUUUUUUAAUAUUAAAUUAUUGAAGUACAGAAUCCAAAUAUAUUUGUGAGUCCGGUGUUGCUAGCUAGAAGGUGUCGUGGCAAUUGGGAAGCGCUUCUGUAAUUGCGGCCGCCGGAAAAUGCUUUCUCGUCACCGGAUCUCCGUCCUUGUUUGGUGAUUUAUGCAGGGAGUGGGGAAAACUACUUUGAUAAUCCGAGUUCUGGAUGCCCUCAAACAAUUCAUUCCCAGCUUAAAAAUUCAGGGUUUUUAUACUCGUGAGGUAAGAGAAGGGUGUGAUAGGGUAGGAUUUGAAGUGGUUACUGUUGAUGGCCGCAGAGGUCCUCUUGCAUCCACCAUUAUCACUAGCCGUGAAUCUCACAAAUGGCCUAACGUGGGGAGGUACAAAGUAGAUGUCUCGUCGUUUGAGUCAUUAGCAUUGCCUGAGUUGGAGGUUAAAGAAGACACUGAUCUGUUCAUUAUUGAUGAAGUUGGUAAAAUGGAGCUGUUCAGCGCAUCAUUCUUCCCUGCUGUCUUAAGAGUUCUAGAAUCCAAUAUCCCUCUGUUGGCGACUGUCCCUGUCCCAAAAUCUGGCAGAGAUAUUCCUGGAGUUGCAAGGUUGAAAAAUCAUCCAGGAGCAACCAUUUAUACGCUGAAUACAAGCAACCGAGAUGCCAUGAAAGAACAAAUAUACUCCAACUUGGUAGGCUUGUUGCAAAACCACUAGCUUCUGUCAAAAGCCUGACCUUCCUACCCUGUGACUCAUGCAACUGACUUCCUCUCGAACCUGUAGAAGAUCCGUGUGGAAUGAAAGUGAGUUUUGCCCACUUGUUGUGCAUCAACUUUUCAAGGAUUAAAGUGAGUCCAUAUCAAAUUUGUUCCUUUGCUACAGGAAAAUAUCCCAACCAUUUUUCGCUGUAAUCAUGCUGCCCUGGACGACGAAAGGGGACUCAUCCACACCCGAUGAUGGCAUUGAAGCCUCCCAUCAAUUUAAAGACAUAUAAGUUGUUUGGAAAUUUGAACGUAAGGAUCAAAUUUGAUGCGUGAAACGGUGAAAUGAUAAUACUAUCCUGGAGUAUUGAUGUCAUAAUAUUUUUCACCAUUUUUUCCUUACUAAGAUCAAA